UUUUUUUUUUUUUUUUUGGGGGGGGUGCUAUCACAAUUUUUUUACUUACUCGUUUUACUGAGGUUUAAUGAAAAACAAGGUUCUCUUUUCAGUAGCCUAAUUUAGUAUGCUUGAUUUUGUAAAUUUAUAUAUGGAGUUUGUUUCUUCCUUGAAUUAGCUAUAUUUGAAAGAGUUCGCUGACAUGGGGCCUAAUUAUAAGUUAAUUGCUCCGUAGAUCACCAUAUUUUCAGUUUUAUAUUUAGCUGAAGUUAUCAUCUUUAUAUUUAUUAAUUUCUUAUGAUUUAUGUGCCUUUGUAAAUUUGUGCCUGUUUUCUGGAGCGACCCAAAAGGAAAUGCUUCUUUCCUUUUUCUUAUAUAUAUAUAUAUAUAUAUAUAUAACGACGUUUAUCGAAGCAAUAAGUGAUUUUCCUCUGCCCACUUUACAAUAAUUUAUUUAGUUUUUUUAUCUGAAGUUGAAACUUCAUUGGUAUGUAUUUUGAUUGAUUUAUCAAUUGGCAACAACAAAAUAGUUUACUCCCGGUGCUUUUUUUCUACUUUCCUUUAUUUGUUAAAUUUCUUAGACCGUAUAAUGGAUUUAACUCAGCAAUAUUCAGCAUUGUUUUCCUCUAAUGAGAAUGUAAUUAUCUGCAAUUUUGACACUGAAUCAUGUCUAACAAAAGUGAGGAAAUCCCAUGUUUUAAUUGGACAUUAACCUUUGUGUUUGACAGUGCCAGCUGCCAUCUUGAGCUGAUCAAAUCCAAAAGGAAAACGAAUUGGAAUUUCAAACUUUCAAGCUUUCAUAUAAUCGAUGGCUAAUAAACAAGUGACUGGUGAAAUUAGCUUGGUGGUUUUGGUGGACAAGGAGAAGAAAAGGGUCAUUUUUGCCGAGUCUGAUCAAGAUUUGGUUGAUAUUCUCUUUAGUUUUUUGACAAUUCCUGUGGGAACAAUUAUCGGGCUUUCCUCUGAUAAAUCAGCAGUGGAGAUAGGUUGCAUGAAUAACUUAUACAAAAGUGUUGAGAAUAUUGAUGAUAAGCAUUUUCAUAAUACAUCAUUCAAGCGGAUGUUGCUCAGUCCCCGCAAUAAUGCGGACUCUCUUUGCAGUAACCUAAAGCUGAAAAUAGAUCAUCAGACUACUAGGUACUUUGUCUGCUGGAACGACCCUAUUAAGUCAUUACAGCGGUUGUCUUUGUAGAUGUGGAACAUCCAUGGUUGAUGAAGUAUCUAUGAGAAAAGGAGAGUCGAAAACGCCUUCUUUUAGUGAUAAAGAUGGAGGUGUAUUUGUCAAAGGUUUGAGCAGGUUCAUAAUCAGUGAUGAUUUACAAGUGAUGCCCCUGUCCACUGCAGCAAGCUUAUCUUUGUUUUCCAAGCUUGGAAUUAUGGAUUGGAGUGGCAUUGAGAAGAACAUUUUCUCUUUAGGAGUUGGUGAGGUUUUGAAUUUGCUAGUGUGCUCAUUAGUAUCAAAAACACCAUUGACAGAAACUCUUCUGAAGCAUAAACCAGCGACCGAGUUAAACGCAGGAAAUUUUGAUCAAGGAAAACAUGUUGAAUACAAAAUGGAAGACAAGAAGAAUAUUGGAAAUGGAAAGAUUACUAUCAAGCUUAUGGUGAGCAAAUCUAAGAAGAAAGUUUGGUAUGCAGAGGCAAAGAAAGACUGUUAAUUUGCUUUUCAGUUUCCUAACCAUUCCACUUGGGCAUUUUGUGAAACAAAAAUUUAGCAGUUCUUUGAAUGGAUGCAUAGAUCAGUUGUACAAGAGUGUACAAGAUCUUGAUGAGCAAUUCUUGAAGUCCAACUACCACAAGGAAAUGCUAGUCAGCCCCAAGCUUGCUUCUGGAAUUGGUUAUGAGAAUGAUUUAUUAGGAAUUGAGGAAGCCUCACAUCCUCCAUAUUACUUUGCGGUAGUAGGCUAUAAUAAAUAUCUUACUAGUGAUAAAAGUCUUAUUCCUUCUUAUAAAAAUACAAUGAUAACAGAACUUAAAGUUGUGGAUCCAAAAUCUCAUAACAAAGAUGGUGGAGGAUUUAUAACAGGACAGGCAAUUUUCACAGUGACAGAUAGUCUGAUAAUAAGACCUAUAUCUCCCAUCUUAGGCCUCUCCAUUCUCAAUGACUUGAAGGUACCUUUUAAUGACAUUGAGGAGCAAACUGUGCUUGUGGGCAAGGAGGAGGCUUUGAGUCUUUUACAGACUUGUUUUGAGUCGGAAUCUGCUCUGACCAAUACCUUCAUUAGGGAUCCAAAGCAAUGCAAAUGAGGAAACCAAGGAUAAUAUGUAUCAGAAGAUAGAAAAAAGAGAGGAUGCAUUAUGAUUUGAAGUAUAUGUGCAUAUAUAUAUAUAUAUAUAUAAAAUAAAUGUGUCAAAGCUUAUAUAUAUAUUUAUAUAUAUAAUUUUGUGUGUGUGUGUGUGUGUGUGUGUCUUUGUGCACAUUUUCAUGUAAUGUAAUGAUCUGCUCAGAGGGUGAUGGACUAGAGCACAGAAAGUGAGGAAGUGAAUAUAAACAAUUUUAUUAUGUUUUA